rnacentral:rRNA from 1 species
AUGACUGCAAUCAGUUUGCGUGCUAUUAUCCUUACAGUCACUUCCCGAUCUCUUUUCUUCACACACACACACACACACACACACACACACACACACACACACACACACACCCGUACAACCAUAAUUACUGGUAAGUCAAAGCUGACUUGUUUCUUGCCUGUAAGCAGAUUCAAUAUAGCAGGGAAAAGGCAUAUGGAAAUUAUGAAAAUCACCAUCUUUUGCUCUCAAGUAUCAAGCUCAGUACAUAUAUCAGGCCUAAAAGCCCAGCAAUCUCAUCUGAUUUUGAAGGACAAAAAUGCCCUUCUAUUUUUUGUGCAGAAGGGGUUUAUUGCAAGAGAGUUGAUCAAGUGA